UACGAAGGGGGCUAGCGUUGCUCGGAAUCACUGGGCGUAAAGGGUGCGUAGGCGGGGUUUUAAGUCAGGGGUGAAAUCCUGGAGCUCAACUCCAGAACUGCCUUUGAUACUGAGGAGCUUGAGUCCGGGAGAGGUGAGUGGAACUGCGAGUGUAGAGGUGAAAUUCGUAGAUAUUCGCAAGAACACCAGUGGCGAAGGCGGCUCACUGGCCCGGUACUGACGCUGAGGUGCGAAAGCGUGGGGAGCAAACAGG
rnacentral:rRNA from 1 species